AAGCUUGAGAAAGCUGUUUUAAUAUCCACACUGGUGAGAGAAUCGUCGUGAUAAUUCAACGUCGGUCAAAGUGAGCGCUGUGCAGCAGACUACUACUCGCCUUUAAAUGCUUCAUCACGCUUUGGAAGCAUGGCUCCCCCACAGAGGGCCCCAGACGCCUCUGCAUCUUAAUGGGAACAUGAAUCUGCUGGGAUGGAGACACCUGCCCUGAGGAGCGUCUUGAAGUGCCUUCACUCCCCUGCCCAGGUGUAGUGACCACAAAGCCUUUGCCUCCCACCCCAAGUUCCUAACUUGGGAAGUUCCCCUGGUUGCACACAAGCCAGGCAGAAGUCUUCUUUGUUCUAAAGU